CUUGUGCUUGCCUCCUCCCGGGCCACACGACGGCGGCGGCCGCAGUGAAUACGGGAAGAGGCGCGUCGCUUUCGCCGGCCGCCGCCGCCCGCCCUCGCACGGGACGCGGCUUCCCCAAUCCGACGGCCGCGAUCCUGCCCACGCCGCCGCUGAUCGAGGACGCACGCGGAUCCGUUGCGUCUGGGAAAACGGCGCGCCCGCAUGGGGGGACCACGCACACGCCUUCCCGUGGAUUUCUUUCUCCCAGCUCGGCGAUGGAGGAGGAAGGGCAUCGUCAUCGAUGGGAUCCAGGUACUCGCGUGCGCGUCAAGAAAGUACCCGUAAAGUCAGAUCUCAUCCUGCUCCGGCCUACCAAACCUACCAGCGCUCCGUCCGACCUUAUCUUCUCCACGAACCGUUGCGAAGAUUUUCGAGUCUCGUGACCGUGUACGCGUGCGACGAGCCCGAGCCGGAUGCCGGCCGCUCUCACGAAUUGACGCGGCCAUCCCCGUCGUCUCCGCGAGACCCCACACGCCUCCAUCACCUUUCCUUUCCCGACUUUCUCCUCCCAGCCUGAAUCCCACGAAUUGAUGCGGCCAUCCCCGUCAUCUCCCCGAGACCCCACACGCCUCCAUCACCUUCCCUCCCCCUCUCCGUUUUCUGACUUCUCCUCCCAGCCUGAAUGCCAGAAACGGAUCAGUUAAUAUAUCCGGGAUAAUUACAAGCUUCUACCGAAGACACCCCUGAAGGGUUGACCGUGUAUAAUGAAACUUGUACUCAUCUAUUAUUGAAUAAGAAAUAUGUUCCACCUACAUCUACUGUCUCUCGUGUGUGUCGUGCUUGGGAUCGGGAAGAGAGAUAGGUCAUCUACUGUCUUCUCCACGCCUCAUCUGCUGCUAGGAAGGGAAUGUGGAUCUCGGGAUUCACAACGACGCCUACAGUUUAACACGUUAUCAACAGCCCUACAUUCAAGCCAGAACGCUGAAGCUCACUUUGCUCAGGCACGGGUCGAUGCCGUCGCUGGAGAGCAUGUUGUGGUGCUGCCCCAGCCUGUCGAGAACACAGAAGGUCAUGCUGCUACGGAUGUCGAUCCAAUUAAUAUCUGGUACCGCUACCCAGGGAGGCGACGAUGGUUACGACCUCGAUGAAGAGGACACCCUCGACGAUGAUUUUGGGGACAUGGCAUAGUUCCCAAGUCAUUAGUCAUUUUGCUUAGAUUUGGUUUAAUUAGUCAGUUUGAUUUAUUUCCAGAAGAAAUUUGGCGUGAUGUAAUAAUGCUCUCGUUGAGCAAACUGAAUCAUUUGUUUUGUUUGAACCAUUAGCAUUUAAAUACUAUAUCCUGGUUAGGUAUUUUAAA